UACGGAGGGUGCGAGCGUUAAUCGGAAUUACUGGGCGUAAAGGGUGCGUAGGUGGUUGGCUAAGUUAUCUGUAAAAUCCCUGGGCUUAACCUGGGCAGGUCAGAUGAUACUGGUUGACUCGAGUAUGGGAGAGGGUAGUGGAAUUUCCGGUGUAGCGGUGAAAUGCGUAGAGAUCGGAAGGAACACCAGUGGCGAAGGCGGCUACCUGGCCUAAUACUGACACUGAGGCACGAAAGCGUGGGGAGCAAACAGGAUUAGAAA
rnacentral:rRNA from 1 species